rnacentral:precursor_RNA from 1 species
UGUCCUUAUCUCCUGAGUUGUCCCAAGCCCGCUUUCCUUAUAAAACCAGCUUGGACUCCUCUGAGUUCAAGAAAA